GUACCGCAUUUUAGCUUUCCCAUCUCUCCGAUUGGCUGUUUCGUUUCGAAGAUGUUCGUGGACGCUUUGUUUUGCGACCGCGCAUCGUUAUAUUGAUCAGUGAUUCUCACGGAAGUAGGCUAAUGACUAAAUGCUUGCUAGAACAUUACCCAGAUGCCAGUUCAAACAGGCUGCAUAAAAAUAGCUUAUGCCGAUGGUACAGAUAAGGGAUAGAGCCGAGGUUUCGUUUGGUUUCGUCUUCUGUGAGUGAUUUGCAAUAACUCCUUUUUUUCCUAAUGAGUAAGAGGGGACAAGUAGAAAACUCGAUACGAUGCCUUCGACCAUGCUGCAGUAUAUUAAAUCCUAUAAUUUGUCACUACAGCCGGCCAAAGGAUUUUAGAGGACAUUGCAUGAAAAUGAAGAGCGAUUAGUUUGCCGGUCAAACGUUCCCUCCCGAGAGUGGGCAUCGUCUAUUUGCAUUGAUACUUCCUUUGGAUAUACAAGUACCGUAAUUGGCGUUCAAAAGUUCGGCUACUCAGGUACAUUACGGCUUCUCUACGUGCACUGCACAAUACAUAAAUCGUAACUCAAAGGUUAAACAAGAAGCGUUCACCGAAAGAAACAGGGCCGUCGGUGCUUCCGAUUGUUUCCUGAAAACGAUCGAAGGACUCAAAAGGUCGUCAGCCAAGGGACAGAAGGUUUAUCGAAGACCUCAGUAAAGGAUGAGCUUUGAGCGUUAUGCGAUUGUUGUGCCCAAAAACGUGAGAGCGUGGUAAAUGUCUGUUCGCCAAAAGGGUUUCACACUCGACAGAGAGAAACGCGGGGUAAUACGCGUUAUUGAUGGCCAUCGUGAAGCAUUACUGACAGUGUUCCAGAAUUUUGUCUUUUUAAAAUAUUUCGAGCGUUUAAAACGAGGGCAAAUGUUUCAUUGUGGAAUAGUUAGGUCA